rnacentral:rRNA from 1 species
UACGAAGGGUGCAAACGUUGCUCGGAAUCAUUGGGCGUAAAGCGCACGUAGGCGGCCUUGCAAGUCGGAUGUGAAAUCCCACGGCUCAACCGUGGACGUGCAUCCGAAACUGCUCGGCUCGAGUAUGGAAGAGGGUCGCGGAAUUCCCGGUGUAGAGGUGAAAUUCGUAGAUAUCGGGAGGAACACCGGUGGCGAAGGCGGCCUUCUGGACGAUGACUGACGCUGAGACGCGAAAGCGUGGGGAGCAAACAGG